rnacentral:tRNA from 1 species
GGCGCCAUCGCCAAGUGGUAAGGCCGGAGCCUGCAAAGCUCCUACCCCCAGUUCGAAUCUGGGUGGCGCCUCCA